GCCGGGCUCGGUGGUGCGCACCUGCAGUGCCAGCUACUUGGGAGGCUGAGCCAGGAGGUUGGCUUGAGCCCAGGAGCUCGGGGUGUACUGCACUAUGUAGAUCCGGUGUUCACAGUAAUUUCAGCAUCAAUAUGGUGACCUCCCAGGAGCGGGGACCACCAGUUUACAUAAGGAGGGGUGAACCGGCCCAGGUCAGGAAAUGGAGCAGGUCAAAACUGUCGUGAUGAUCAAAGAAAUCUUUAUCAUGUUCAGCCUGUAGAGAUAAACUCCCUCCUGCUAAAACUAUUCUUGCAUUU
rnacentral:SRP_RNA from 1 species